AGUGGUGAAUGGCCUGAGUAGAAGGCGACGGAAAGCGCGGUAAAGGUAGUGGCAUCGAACGUGAAUACAAAGCGUUGACUAUAUGAAUAUGCCAUCAUUGAUCGAAAGGGAAUCCGGUUAAUAUUCCGGAACCGAGACAUGGAGAAUCGCCCGUCGUUACCGGCGAGACGAAGUGCAGUGACGCAAGCGCACUCAAAGAAUGGCCGGCGAUACUUCCGGGAAGAGUUCUCUUUUCUUUUCAAGUGACGGACACCCUAGAAAUGGUUAAUUCGGAGAUACGUCUGCCGGGGCGUACGGAGCGCUGUCGUCGGUUCAUAAAAAUUUGAGGAAGGCAAAAGUUCUCAUGCUCGGUCGUACUCAUAUCUGCAGCAGGUCUCCAAGGUGAAUUGCCUCU
rnacentral:ncRNA from 1 species